CGCAUGUGGCAAGCUCCUCUAGCUUAAUGAGGCCUUCUGUUUAUGCACUUGACUAAGUUUUGUAGUUAAUGCUGGAAUAAUUCCAUAGAGGUGCAGUAAAAUUUAAAUUUAGUAUGAUUAUUAAGAACAAUGAAGGAAAUAAAGAAGGUUACGAACCAAUUUACUCUUUAGUUCGUUUAAAACCUUGUUCGACGCGCACAACUACUAAAUCUUGUUUGGAAGUUUUAGGGCUAGAUAGCCUUAGAAUGGUAGGGAGUGACGAGAAAGUUUUUUUUUGCGAUCGAGUCUUAGGUGAAAACACAACGCAGAAAGAAAUCUUUGAUAUUAUUGGUGUUGAAUUAGUAAAAAAUAUUUUGAGAGGCUACAAUGGCUGUCUUUUAACAUAUGGCCAAACAGGGUCAGGAAAAACUUUUACUGCGUUUGGU